CACUGACCCUUCAGCCUGCUUCCUUGAGCUUCUGGCAAAGCUAUCUCUAAUGAGACAGAAAGGGGUAUUUUUUUAUAUACACCCCUAUAUACUUAUUAACCCUUAAUAUAUACACCUCUAUAUACUUAUUAAGGGUUAAUAAAAAAUACCCUUCAGUCUCAUUAGCGAUAUCUUUGCCAGAAGUUCAAGGAAGCAGGCUGAAGGGUCAGUGU
rnacentral:miRNA from 1 species